rnacentral:rRNA from 1 species
CGGGUGCACUGAUCCGGCCGGGCCUUUCCCUCUGUGGAACCCCAUGGCCUUCACUGGCUGUGCGGGGGAAACAGGACUUUUACUGUGAAAAAAUUAGAGUGCUCCAGGCAGGCCUAUGCUCGAAUACAUUAGCAUGGAAUAAUAGAAUAGGACGCGUGGUUCUAUUUUGUUGGUUUCUAGGACCGCCGUAAUGAUUAAUAGGGACAGUCGGGGGCAUCAGUAUUCAAUUGUCAGAGGUGAAAUUCUUGGAUCUAUUGAAGACUAACUACUGCGAAAGCAUUUGCCAAGGAUGUUUUCAUUGAUAAGGAACGAAAGUUAGGGGAUCGAAGACGAUCAGAUACCGUCGUAGUCUUAACUAUAAACUAUGCCGACUAGGGAUCGGACGAUGUUAUUUCUUGACGCGUUCGGCACCUUUCGAGAAAUCAAAGUGCUUGGGCUCCAGGGGGAGUAUGGUCGCAAGGCUGAAACUUAAAGAAAUUGACGGAAGGGCACCACCAGGGGUGGAACCUGCGGCUUAAUUUGACUCAACACGGGGAAACUCACCAGGUCCAGACACAGUGAGGAUUGACAGAUUGAGAGCUCUUUCUUGAUUCUGUGGGUGGUGGUGCAUGGCCGUUCUUAGUUGGUGGAGUGAUUUGUCUGCUUAAUUGCGAUAACGAACGAGACUUUAACCUGCUAAAUAGCCCGUACUGCUCUGGCAGUUCGCCGGCUUCUUAGAGGGACUAUCGG